UACGUAGGGUGCAGGCGUUAAUCGGAAUUACUGGGCGUAAAGCGUGCGCAGGCGGUUUGCUAAGACAGGUGUGAAAUCCCCGGGCUUAACCUGGGAACUGCGCUUGUAACUGGCAAGCUGGAGUGUGGCAGAGGGGGGUGGAAUUCCACGUGUAGCAGUGAAGUGCGUAGAGAUGUGGAGGAACACCGAUGGCGAAGGCAGCCCCCUGGGCUAACACUGACGCUCAUGCACGAAAGCGUGGGGAGCAAACAGG
rnacentral:rRNA from 1 species